rnacentral:rRNA from 1 species
GGAAUAUUGGUCAAUGGACGAGAGUCUGAACCAGCCAAGUAGCGUGCAGGAUGACGGCCCUAUCGGGUUGUAAACUGCUUUUAUGCGGGAUCAAUGGCAGUCACGUGUGACUGAGAUGUGCGUACCGCAUGAAUAAUGACCGGCUAAUUUCGUGCCAGCAGCCGCGGUAAUACGGAAGGUCAGGGCGUUAUCCGGAUUUAUUGGGUUUAAAGGGAGCGCAGGCCGAUGGUUAAGCGUGACGUGAAAUGUAGCCGCUCAACGGCUGAACUGCGUCGCGAACUGGCUGUCUUGAGUGAGUUCGAUGUGGGCGGAAUUCGUGGUGUAGCGGUGAAAUGCUUAGAUAUCACGAAGAACUCCGAUUGCGAAGGCAGCCCACAAGGCCUUUACUGACGCUAAAGCUCGAAGGUGCGGGUAUCGAACA